GAUGAACGCUGACAGCAUGCUUAACACAUGCAAGUCAACUUGAAUUUGGGUUUUUUAACUUAUAUUUGGUUGUCGGCCGGGUGAGUAACGCGUAAAGCACUUGCCUCCCAGCUCUGGACAACAUUUGGAAACGAAUGCUAAUACCUGAUAUUAUGAUUAUAAGGCAUCUUAGAUUUGUGAAAGCUAUAUGCGCUCUGAGAGAGCUUUGCGUCCCAUUAGCUAUUUGGUGAGGUAACGGCUCACCACGGCGAUGAUGGGUAGCCGGCCUGAGAGGGUGAACGGACACAAGGGGAAUGAGAAACGGACCUUACAGCGACGGGAGGCAGCAGUGGGGAAAAAUGGACAAUGGACCAAGAGGCGGAUACAGCAAUGCUGUGAGGACGAUGAAGUUUUUCGGAAUGUAAAGUGAUUUCAGUUGGGAAGAAAAAAAUGACGGUACCAAAAGAAGAAGUGACGGCUAAAUACGUG
rnacentral:rRNA from 1 species